AUUUUUUUUCAUAUAUAUAAUAUAUAUGAUUUAUACUUUAUUGAGCCCUCGUAGUUUGGUGACAGUCAAGUGGCUGGGAGGUAGGACAGCAAUGCUCUGAUUAGCAGCAUGUAAGACUCACCUCCAGGCAAAUCCUGUGGUUUGCAACCAGAAAGAUCUAGCAGGUUGAGGCCCUCCUCUGCCAGCCACACUUCAGCAGCAACCACAAUCCACAAAAUUCCCCCAUUCGCACUAUUGCCUUGCAAUGGAUCUAUAGUAUGAAGUUAGAAUAAGCCUGUCAUUUAAGCCACUGGGAUGCGGAGAGUUUCCCUUUUACAUCAUGGCUCAGCUUAACCUGAUUGAUAUGACCUGUAAAUCCCACUGGCUUGAUACAGCAACAUCCUUUGGGGUGAGCAGCUCUUUCUGGGGACCCAACUCCCGCCACAGCCCAGCCAAGUUUUCAGCACCUGGCCGUGGAUGGUGGAAAAUCAGAUGAAGUCUCGCCAAGCCUGUCCUUGUAAGUGGGCUGCUGGAGCUCUAGUUCCUGGCCACCAGAAACAGAGAGACAAUCUGAGUAUUUAAGCACUAUUCCGAGAGCCUGAGAUCCGAUUAGGCAGCGGCUUAACAACUAGGAAAAUAACAGCCUUAGCACACCCUCUCCAAUCAGCCAGCUUCAGGGGAGACGGUUCAGGAAAUCAGUCUUGCCCCCUUGGUGCAGUAGGCAGCCAUGCUUUGUAAAGAAUCUUUUUAGUUACUCUUUGACAGUUUCAAACAUGUACGCAUGCAGCUUGAUCAUCUGCACCCAGCUCCCAGCUCCCACUGAGUCCGCCUGGCACUGGGAGGUUGGCUAUUCUUGCUGGCUUGAUCUUAUACAGGUCGUGUGCGGGUAGUCAUAGCAACGCUCCACGAAAGCAAGCCAGCAGGGAGGAAAUCUUCAGGCCUGCUAGCAGGAGCAGUCCUUGACUGGUAGUCACUACUACAGAGUGGACUUUAACAAUGGCAUCUGAACACCCUCGGUGGGUACAUCUCUCUGCUCUGUGGAGCUUUAGGAAGGACCUGCCCAUGAAGGUCACCAGAAAGACCUGAAGAAUAUGGCAGGAGUUUUGCAUUGUAGAGGGUCCAAGAGAGAGAAGGGGGUGCUUCAACCAAGCGAAGGUCCACACUGACUACACAUGGUGACUGCUAAUCACCAUAUGCUUCUAGAACCGCCCCCCUCUCUCUCUGGCCCAUUGCAAUCAUUGGUUUGCACACGACACUGUGUAUUGUUCCAUCCACACUGUAAGAGCCCAGAGACCAACAGUGUCUCUACAGGCCCCAGCAGACUGGUAGCAAUGCUCUGCUUAGACAACAUGUGUUAGCCACGGCCCCUCAGUUGAGUGCUUGUGAGAAGCUUCAUUCCUGCAAGGCAGAUGGCCAUUGUGACACCCCAAGGCUGCUUCAACGAGACAAGCAAAGGAGCUCCCACCUUCAUGUGGCUUGACAGCUUGCCCUGCUGGCCUGUCAUCCGAGUGUCAAAGCAGCUUCUUCAGAUACUUCGUUUUCUGGACUUCAUCCAAGAAGCUGUUGGACACAGAGAAACUGAGAAACUGCCAGUCACUUUCUCAGCUUCUUCCUCGAGAGAGUCUGCGUGUCAAAAAAACUGUUAUUAGGAAUGUAAACACUGCAGACAUUUGAGCUAGCAAGCAGAGAUUCAACCCCUCUUCACUGUUGUUCAAUGUAUUCCAAGGCAGAUGUGGUUGAUUCUUCUAAGAGCACCCAGCCAUCCUUCCUCUGCAGAGCUGGUGAAGGUAGCUGGGUAAUACUUCAGAGUGGGCUGGACAGAAGUCACGAGGAGACAACCAUAGGAUGGUGGUUCCAUGUGUGCACAGGGCUGAGGGGUGACCCCUUCGAUGUCUUCUCCAAGAUGUGAGAGGAAGUCGCUGCCUUCUACAUUCAUAGCCCUGGCUUGGGAACAGAUUUCUGGAUGUCCCCACUGAAAUAGGUGAGAUCAAGUCUCCCGCCUCCCCUGAGCAGCACCACCCAGGCCUCUCUCCCUUGGCUUCCCAGGAGUGCAGAGAAAGAAGCUGAGCAAACUUUGGGGCCAAGGGAGAUGCUACACUCCGAGCCAAAAGGGCAGGUGAAGACCAAAGAGGGUGUGAGUAUGUCCUCUCAGGGGACAGGCCAGGCCUAGAACCACUGUGCCACAAAUACUAUGCACCAGGUGCCUCAGCAUGUCCUCUCAGGGGACAGGCCAGGCCUAGAACCACUGUGCCACUGUGCCACAAAUACUAUGCACCAGGUGCCUCAGCAGAGAGCAAUUUCUAUUCUUACAGUUCUGAGUCACAGAUCAAGCUACCACCAUUGCUCUGGUGGUCUCUCUUCUUUGCUCACAGAAGGCCCCUACCCUGCACCUGCGGUGACUGAAAGGUGCAGAGGAGACUGGUAAAGCACAUCUCUGGGUAUCUCUGAGAGGGCUUUUCCUCCCACGGUUGGUUCCCUGAGGGCCAUGAUCAACCAGUGAUUGACUUCACUGAAGGAAGUAUGGCACCAGGAGAGCCCUGGGUCGUUCCCAGCAUGCUCUCUGCUUUCUGUCCACUUGCAGAUUAAGAUGUGAGCCCUUAGCUUCUGUUUCAGUUACCGUGGCUGCUGCUCCUUUCUUUCUGCCCUUUGGAGCCAUAAGCCCCAAAUAAACUUUCUUUUAUAAGU
ensembl:lncRNA LOC120093813 uncharacterized LOC120093813